UGGGGAAUUUUCCGCAAUGGGGGGAACCCUGACGGAGCAACGCCGCGUGCGGGAGGACGGCCUGUGGGUUGUAAACCGCUUUUCUCUAGGAAGAAGGUCUGACGGUACUAGAGGAAUCAGCUUCGGCUAACUCCGUGCCAGCAGCCGCGGUAAGACGGAGGAUGCAAGCGUUAUCCGGAAUUAUUGGGCGUAAAGCGUCCGUAGGCGGUUCAUCAAGUCAGUUGUUAAAGAGUGGAGCUCAACUCCAUAAGGGCAGUGGAAACUGCGUAACUAGAGUACGUUCGGGGUAGAGGGAAUUCCUGGUGUAGCGGUGAAAUGCGUAGAUAUCAGGAAGAACACCGGUGGCGAAAGCGCUCUACUAGGCCGUAACUGACACUGAGAGACGAAAGCUAAGGGAGCGAAUGGGAUUAGAUACCCCCGUAGUCC
rnacentral:rRNA from 1 species